UAACUUUUCAGGAAUGUUUGAUAGUAAGCAAUGAUUUUUAAAUUUUUUUUAUUCUCCUCUUCUCUUUCAGACUGAAUGCUGAUCUGAGCUGCAUUGUGUGAGGACUUAGGAAUAAAAACACACUUGGCCCAGCUGUUUCAGAAUGAUGUCUGUAAAGAGGGGCAGUAACCUAGUUUGAUGCUCUGCUAUCAGCUUACAUUGACAUACCUCUCACUUGGGCCCUAUGUGCAUUCACAUUUUCUACUGCAGUUCCAGGAAAUGCAUCCUGGGGCUGUCCCAGUUUCAGAGCUAUUGUAGUAGCAUUGUUGCUUGACAUACACAGAACCAUGACAAAUACAGGAAGGCAACAGAGGAGGCUUUCAUGGACCUUUCAUGACAGUGAUCAACUCAACUCUGAGCAUGAGAUUAUCCUCAUAUUCUAA
rnacentral:lncRNA from 1 species